rnacentral:rRNA from 1 species
UGCAGUCGACGGCAGCACGGGAGCUUGCUCCUGGUGGCGAGUGGCGAACGGGUGAGUAAUACAUCGGAACGUACCCAGGAGUGGGGGAUAACGUAGCGAAAGUUACGCUAAUACCGCAUAUUCUGUGAGCAGGAAAGCGGGGGAUCGCAAGACCUCGCGCUCUUGGAGCGGCCGAUGUCGGAUUAGCUAGUUGGUGAGGUAAAAGCUCACCAAGGCGACGAUCCGUAGCAGGUCUGAGAGGAUGAUCUGCCACACUGGGACUGAGACACGGCCCAGACUCCUACGGGAGGCAGCAGUGGGGAAUUUUGGACAAUGGGGGCAACCCUGAUCCAGCCAUGCCGCGUGAGUGAAGAAGGCCUUCGGGUUGUAAAGCUCUUUCGGCGGGGAAGAAAUGGCAACGGCUAAUAUCCGUUGUUGAUGACGGUACCCGCAUAAGAAGCACCGGCUAACUACGUGCCAGCAGCCGCGGUAAUACGUAGGGUGCGAGCGUUAAUCGGAAUUACUGGGCGUAAAGCGUGCGCAGGCGGUUUCGUAAGACAGACGUGAAAUCCCCGGGCUCAACCUGGGAACUGCGUUUGUGACUGCGAGGCUAGAGUACGGCAGAGGGGGGGUAGAAUUCCACGUGUAGCAGUGAAAUGCGUAGAGAUGUGGAGGAAUACCGAUGGCGAAAGGCAGCCCCCUGGGUUAGUACUGACGCUCAUGCACGAAAGCGUGGGGAGCAAACAGGAUUAGAUACCCUGUAGUCCACGCCCUAACGAUGUCAACUAGGGGGGUUGGAAGGGUUAA